rnacentral:rRNA from 1 species
UGGGGAAUUUUGCACAAUGGGGGAAACCCUCAUGCAGCGACGCCGCGUGAUUUAGAAGGCCUUCGGGUUGUAAAAAUCUUUUCUAUGGGAAGAAAAUGACAGUACCAUAGGAAUAAGGCCCGGCUAAUUACGUGCCAGCACCCGCGGUAAUACGUAAGGUCCGAGCGUUGUCCGGAAUCAUUUGGCGUAAAGGGUACGUAGGCGGGUAAGCAAGUUAGAAGUGAAAUACUAUAGCUCAACUAUAGUAAGCUUUUAAAACUGCUCAUCUUGAGGUAUGGAAGGGAAAGUGGAAGUCCUAGUGUGGCGGUGAAAUGCGCAGAUAUUAGGAGGAAUACAGGUGGCGAAGGAGACUUUCUGGCCAUAACCUGACGCUGAGGUACGAAAGCGUGGGUAGCAAACAGG